AUUGAACGCUGGCGGAAUGCUUUACACAUGCAAGUCGAACGGCAGCACGGACUUCGGUCUGGUGGCGAGUGGCGAACGGGUGAGUAAUGUAUCGGAACGUGCCCAGUCGUGGGGGAUAACGUAGUGAAAAUUACGCUAAUACCGCAUACGAUCUAUGGAUGAAAGCGGGGGAUCGCAAGACCUCGCGCGAUUGGAACGGCCGAUAUCAGAUUAGGUAGUUGGUGGGGUAAAGGCCCACCAAGCCAACGAUCUGUAGCUGGUCUGAGAGGACGACCAGCCACACUGGAACUGAGACACGGUCCAGACUCCUACGGGAGGCAGCAGUGGGGAAUUUUGGACAAUGGGCGAAAGCCUGAUUCAGCCAUUCCGCGUGCAGGAUGAAGGCCCUCGGGUUGUAAACUGCUCUUGUACAGAACGAAAAGGUUUCUACUAAUACUAGGAGCUCAUGACGGUACUGUAAGAAUAAGCACCGGCUAACUACGUGCCAGCAGCCGCCGUAA
rnacentral:rRNA from 1 species